GCCUGGAUAGUUCAGCUGGUUAGAGCAUGGUGCUGAUCAUGCCAGGGUUUCAGGUUCAAUUCCCGUAUGGGACA